CUCGGCCACCGUCUUCUCCACCCUACGCAUUAAGUCCAACGACAAACCAUGGUUGAUCACCUGGAAAAAGCCCCAUCUCAUGCAUGCUUCUGCAAUCUCUGUCGCUAGCGCUGUCUUGUCGCAGUUUGGGUCUUGGAGGGAGGAGAGGUCGAUGGUCGGGAUCUCCUUGGAGAGAAUGUGGUCAUCGGAGUGUUUGAGAUGAGUUUUGGGUCUGUGUUCUGGAGCUUGGAUAAAAGCUUCGUCGAGUACUCCCAUGGUGGUUUUUUUGUCGGUGAUUCUUAUGUUUAUCUUUUAAGGCUUUGGAAGAUAUCCGAUGAUUCUUGUGGUGCAUGCGGUUGGGUUUGUUUUAUAGGAAGAUGUCUGUCACGUGUAACAAAACGCUUUUAUUGGUAUGAUGAAUGUAGACACGUUUCUGUGAACAAUUAACUUUUUUUUUCACAUUUGGUUAAUUAGGAAUUACAGUCAUGCCAGUUGUUGAAAGACGACCAAAAUAAGCCAAAGAUGUAUGUAGACGGAGGAUAUUCAUAAAGUUCAUCAGCGUUUAAUAUAGACUAUAGAUGCCCCUUCUAGAAAAAAAAAAUUAACCAUUUUUUAUUUUUGCAAACAACCAUUACAAAAGGAGAGGAGGAUUAGUUCACGAGAAAAUAGCUCUGAAUCUAGACGGAAUUUUGGAAGGGUGGAGGAUGUGAUAUACGCAAGUCAAAUCUUAUUGGAUACUUGGAUCUCGAUCCGAAGUCUUAUAUAUUUGCAAAAAACAAAAGAAAAUUAUGACAUGAUUUUAAAGAACAUAUCAGAUAUUGUUUCCGACAUAAACUCAGUCUCUCACAUAUUAUUACAUUAAGGGCUUGCAUCAUAGCUUUGGUAAUAAAAAGUAGACGCAUAGAACAUACUCUUAUUAAGGAUGUGACUGGUUUGUUACAUUCCCAAACGCAAGUUUUACGGUUGAUAACGCUUGACAGCAUUUCGAAAAAAUCAUACAAACCUCUACAAAUCACUUCAAAUCACUCCGAACCUCUUAAAAUCAAAAGCUGGUUCCAGUUAGUGUUUGCAGUUGCGAGCGGUUGUGGAUGGAUAAAUAAAUAUAAAUUGUUUUUCAAAAAUAUUUAAAAAUUUUAAAAUUAAAAUUUUAAAAUAGAAGUACGAUAAAUAAAAAUAUAUACAUAUUUUAUAUAUUAUUUUAAAUUCACAAACAGUACAUAAUUUGUUUUAUAAAAACUUUAAACUAACUAACUAUUCAUUAGAAUUUUUAAAAAUUAAUAUACAUACAUAUUUUUUUUUAAAGUUUAAUAGAAAUCUUCAAAAAAAAUUAUAACUUUCAACUAAUUUGAAAAAUUAUUUAAACAAACAUAAUACUAUUAUUAACCAUAUUAUAUUGAUAUUAUUAUAUUUUAUUACAAUAAUAUGUUUUCAUAGUUUCAUAAUGUUAUAAUAUGUUAAUAUUGGUAAUUUAUUAUUAAACCAGUGCAAUAUCUAAUUAUAAUCAACCAGUCACAAAUAUCCCGCAAACGUAACAAUUUUCAAACAUUGUGCCAGUCAUACAAAACACUUAACAACACUUGAAAACACAACCACCCGCAUCCACACACUCCCGCAUCCGCAACCGCAACCACUGCAUUUGAACCAACCGGACCCUAAAUUAUAAGGUUUUCAGGACUCACUCUUCUAAUGGCUUCACUUCCACAUCAUGUGAAGGCAUCAAGAAGAAUGCUAUUGGGUAUCUUUCUCUUGGUGUACCAAGAAUCCCCACCACUCUAUGUUCUACAUUCCAAUACUUAUCAUUUAUGAUUCAUCCAUACCUAGUAGUAUAGAUAUAGUCGUUAUAAUUAGAUACUGCAUGUGUAUAUCUUAGAAAAAUGAGAAGUAAUAUCUAGAAUUUCACCUCCAUUUGUAAUCCUCCAACUUUGUCUUGAGCCAAUAGACCGUGGGCAUGGUGGAUAACGAUUUAUCCUUAAGAAAACUCAUUUGAUCUUUAAAGUAAUCAUGGAAUGAGUUCUAAAAGCCUGUAUGCUAGCUUUUCAGCGUGUCUUACGUACUCGUCACAUGCCUCCCUAAAACUAAAUAAGAAAAAAGAGAUUAACUUGCAUAGUUGAAAAUAAAUUCUUUUACCGAAUUGCUUGUAUGCUAUGUCCUACAUGUAAGUUGUAACUUGUAAUAUUAAUGCAGCCUUGGAAGAUAGCGUUCACGUGCAUCCAGUAGAGUUGUGUACUUGUGUAAAGUGAUAAGAUUCUGUUCAUAUUGGUUAACUUAGUUUUUUCUUUGUAACAAACACUUAUAUUAAACACACUAACCAAAGUUAGGUGGAGUCAUAAUGGCAAGUUCAACAGCCAAGCAUUGUUUAGCUAAAUUAUCAGCAUACCUGUUACUCUCACGAGAAAUCCAGGACCAAGAAAAACACUCAAAAGAGGAAACAGCAGAGAUGAUAUCUGUAAUUACUCCAAACACUCUUCAGUAAAAGAAGAGCCCAAAUUGAUUGCUUUAACUAGUUGCGCCAAGUCAGAUUCGCAUCUGGUAUUGGGAGGCCAAGAUUCCCGCUCUUAAAAAUUUCCUCACGAAGCGCCAAAGCUUCAGCCGCAAGAAGGGAUGUCACAUGUCGAUAAAGAGCAGAGAAAGAGGAUAUUCUGUUUUGGUUUUCAAUUGUCCAACCAAGCCCCACCGUAUGGUGACUCUCAUUUCACAAAAUAUCGAUUUAACAAGGACAUAGUUAAAACCGAUAUGUUUGGAAUGAGAGUAAAUGGAGACUGAUGAUUGCAUACAUGCUAUAGAUACUUAUUCUAUUUAUUGUUUUCAUAGGAUAAGUAGAGAAAAAAAUUUAGGAAUAAUUAAGAAGAAAGAUAAAGUGAUUCGGCUACAGAAAAUUGGUAAUGUAAAUAUAUGUUGUGAGACUGAUGAUUGCAUACUAUGCUUUUUUUUUGGAUCACAGCUUCUUUUCAUUAACAAAUAUAAAUUGUUUUUCAAAAAUAUUUAAAAAUUUUAAAAUUAAAAUUUUAAAAUAGAAGUACGAUAAAUAAAAAUAUAUACAUAUUUUAUAUAUUAUUUUAAAUUCACAAACAGUACAUAAUUUGUUUUAUAAAAACUUUAAACUAACUAACUAUUCAUUAGAAUUUUUAAAAAUUAAUAUACAUACAUAUUUUUUUUUAAAGUUUAAUAGAAAUCUUCAAAAAAAAUUAUAACUUUCAACUAAUUUGAAAAAUUAUUUAAACAAACAUAAUACUAUUAUUAACCAUAUUAUAUUGAUAUUAUUAUAUUUUAUUACAAUAAUAUGUUUUCAUAGUUUCAUAAUGUUAUAAUAUGUUAAUAUUGGUAAUUUAUUAUUAAACCAGUGCAAUAUCUAAUUAUAAUCAACCAGUCACAAAUAUCCCGCAAACGUAACAAUUUUCAAACAUUGUGCCAGUCAUACAAAACACUUAACAACACUUGAAAACACAACCACCCGCAUCCACACACUCCCGCAUCCGCAACCGCAACCACUGCAUUUGAACCAACCGGACCCUAAAUUAUAAGGUUUUCAGGACUCACUCUUCUAAUGGCUUCACUUCCACAUCAUGUGAAGGCAUCAAGAAGAAUGCUAUUGGGUAUCUUUCUCUUGGUGUACCAAGAAUCCCCACCACUCUAUGUUCUACAUUCCAAUACUUAUCAUUUAUGAUUCAUCCAUACCUAGUAGUAUAGAUAUAGUCGUUAUAAUUAGAUACUGCAUGUGUAUAUCUUAGAAAAAUGAGAAGUAAUAUCUAGAAUUUCACCUCCAUUUGUAAUCCUCCAACUUUGUCUUGAGCCAAUAGACCGUGGGCAUGGUGGAUAACGAUUUAUCCUUAAGAAAACUCAUUUGAUCUUUAAAGUAAUCAUGGAAUGAGUUCUAAAAGCCUGUAUGCUAGCUUUUCAGCGUGUCUUACGUACUCGUCACAUGCCUCCCUAAAACUAAAUAAGAAAAAAGAGAUUAACUUGCAUAGUUGAAAAUAAAUUCUUUUACCGAAUUGCUUGUAUGCUAUGUCCUACAUGUAAGUUGUAACUUGUAAUAUUAAUGCAGCCUUGGAAGAUAGCGUUCACGUGCAUCCAGUAGAGUUGUGUACUUGUGUAAAGUGAUAAGAUUCUGUUCAUAUUGGUUAACUUAGUUUUUUCUUUGUAACAAACACUUAUAUUAAACACACUAACCAAAGUUAGGUGGAGUCAUAAUGGCAAGUUCAACAGCCAAGCAUUGUUUAGCUAAAUUAUCAGCAUACCUGUUACUCUCACGAGAAAUCCAGGACCAAGAAAAACACUCAAAAGAGGAAACAGCAGAGAUGAUAUCUGUAAUUACUCCAAACACUCUUCAGUAAAAGAAGAGCCCAAAUUGAUUGCUUUAACUAGUUGCGCCAAGUCAGAUUCGCAUCUGGUAUUGGGAGGCCAAGAUUCCCGCUCUUAAAAAUUUCCUCACGAAGCGCCAAAGCUUCAGCCGCAAGAAGGGAUGUCACAUGUCGAUAAAGAGCAGAGAAAGAGGAUAUUCUGUUUUGGUUUUCAAUUGUCCAACCAAGCCCCACCGUAUGGUGACUCUCAUUUCACAAAAUAUCGAUUUAACAAGGACAUAGUUAAAACCGAUAUGUUUGGAAUGAGAGUAAAUGGAGACUGAUGAUUGCAUACAUGCUAUAGAUACUUAUUCUAUUUAUUGUUUUCAUAGGAUAAGUAGAGAAAAAAAUUUAGGAAUAAUUAAGAAGAAAGAUAAAGUGAUUCGGCUACAGAAAAUUGGUAAUGUAAAUAUAUGUUGUGAGACUGAUGAUUGCAUACUAUGCUUUUUUUUUGGAUCACAGCUUCUUUUCAUUAACUUCAACUUGGUUGAUUACAAAUGCUAGAAAAUAUUAUCUAUCCUCUUUAAUUGAAAACAUAAACUACAACAACAUAAAAUGAAAAGGACAGAUCUUCAAAAAAAGAUGACAGCGAAAUCAAGAUGUUGUUUGAAUGCGUCGAUGUAGCCUUUACAACAUGCUUGGACAGCAGAAAGAUAGUCACUUUGAAUUGUGGCGUUGACGUUGAUUAAUAUAAAUACAUUAAUCAAGAUAUUUAAAAUAUUUUAGAAAUAUUCACUCUGCAUCACUUUUAACAGGUUGGAGAGUAAAACAUGAGUCAUGUUCAUUGACAUUAUUAGGAAAUGUUGUGCUACUAAACAUAGUGAGAUUACUUAAGCGGCCUUGAAGCGAUCAAUCUGGAUGCUCUCAGUUUGGAGCUUCUUGUAAUCACUUCUGUUUCUCGCAGCAAAGAACUUGCCCCAAUUGUACUUUUUGUAACAAGGCGGGCUGUCCUUCAAUGGCUCAAUGUUGGUAUCGUGGGAUGGGAAAAGGAAGAAUGGCAUUGAGAAUCUCUCUUUGCUUGAAUUCACUACCACUCUAUGUUCUGCACUCCAAUACUUGUCAUUUGUCCAUACCUACUCCACACAACAAAUAUUAUGACCAAGUUACAUUAGACCCCAAAAAAUUUCGAGUUAAUAUAUAUAAACAUAGACCCCUAAAUUGUUAAAAAAAAAAAACUAUUAAAUUGAUUUAAGUCCUCUAAAAUGUCAGGGUCAGCCCUUCAAUAUAACAUUCAAAGUUGAUGUCUUUUACCUGCAUGCAGUUGCCAAUGUUAAUGAUGAAAGCAUCAGGGUUCGGUUUGACAGAGAACCAUUGUCCAUCUGAUCUACGGCUCACUUGUAACCCACCCACACUAUCUUGUGCCAAGACGGUUAUAACUCCUGCGUCUGCGUGGCGUCCAACGCCUAAUGCUAGCUCCGGGUUCGGGCAAGGAGGGUAAUGGUUAAACCGCAAAAAGCUUGUUUGGUCCUUGAAGUAACCUGUUAACCGAUCACCGGGUAGACCCAAGCUAAUGGAGAUAAGUUCCAAAAGCUUGAAAGCUAACUUCUCAACUUCUCUUGCAUAUUCUUGGCACACCUCUCUACCAAACAUGAUUAGUAUUAAUAAAUGGAUCCUAAUUAGGCCCAAUGGGCCUUAAUUAAAGCCUUGUUUUAAAGCGUGUUUUAGAGGAUCACCUGAAGUCGGAAGGGUUUUGAGGCCACGGGUUAGUCAGCUUCCUGAGCUCGGUAUCUUCCGGCUCUGUAGUCGCCGGAACCGUCGUCGAGUCCUGCAAAAAGAAAUCGAAAAUCUCUUUCCAGUCUCUAACGUUUUUGGUAUGUUCUCCGUCGUGAUAACCCAUAGGGUUCACUUCAUCUCUUUUCACUCUUCUCUUCUCCUCCAACGUUAGACUGAAAAACUCGGCCACCGUCUUCUCCACCCUACGCAUUAAGUCCAACGACAAACCAUGGUUGAUCACCUGGAAAAAGCCCCAUCUCAUGCAUGCUUCUGCAAUCUCUGUCGCUAGCGCUGUCUUGUCGCAGUUUGGGUCUUGGAGGGAGGAGAGGUCGAUGGUCGGGAUCUCCUUGGAGAGAAUGUGGUCAUCGGAGUGUUUGAGAUGAGUUUUGGGUCUGUGUUCUGGAGCUUGGAUAAAAGCUUCGUCGAGUACUCCCAUGGUGGUUUUUUUGUCGGUGAUUCUUAUGUUUAUCUUUU
rnacentral:lncRNA from 1 species